rnacentral:rRNA from 1 species
GAUGAACGCUAGCGGCAGGCUUAAUACAUGCAAGUCAAGGGGGUAGCAAUACAACCGGCGCACGGGUGAGUAACGCGUACACAACAUACUAUAUACUGGAGUAUAGCUUUGGGAAACUGAAGGUAAUCCUCCAUAACAUUGCGAGAGGGCAUCUGAUUGCAAUUAAAGUUUCGGCGGUAUAUGAUUGGUGUGCGUUUGAUUAGCUAGUUGGUAGGGUAACGGCCUACCAAGGCGACGAUCAAUAGCUGGCGUGAGAGCGCGACCAGCCACACUGGAACUGAGACACGGUCCAGACUCCUACGGGAGGCAGCAGUAAGGAAUAUUGGUCAAUGGAGGGAACUCUGAACCAGCCAUGCCGCGUGAAGGAUGACGGCCCUCUGGGUUGUAAACUUCUUUUGGAUGGGGCGAAAAAACGGGAUUUAAUCCUGGACUGACGGUACCAUCAGAAUAAGCACCGGCUAACUCCGUGCCAGCAGCCGCGGUAAAGUAGUCGU